UACAGAGGGUGCGAGCGUUGUUCGGAAUUAUUGGGCGUAAAGCGCGCGCAGGUGGUUCUUUAAGUCUGAUGUGAAAGCCCACGGCUCAACCGUGGAGGGUCAUUGGAAACUGGGGAACUUGAGUGCAGAAGAGGAAAGUGGAAUUCCAAGUGUAGCGGUGAAAUGCGUAGAGAUUUGGAGGAACACCAGUGGCGAAGGCGGGUUGCUGGGCCGACACUGACGCUGAGGCGCGAAAGCCAGGGGAGCGAACGGG
rnacentral:rRNA from 1 species